rnacentral:lncRNA from 1 species
GACUGUUAAUGGAAAUUUUAAUUUUAAAAGUAUGAAUUAAUUGAGGAACUGAGUAUAUUUCAGGACUCAAUGAGUGAAAGGAUAUCAAAUGAUAAGAUUUCAAAUACUUGAGAUUGAAAACUUUGUCAAAAUCAUUGAAUUUGAGCUUGAAGAUGAUGAACCUUAGUUUUUGCCUCGGAGAGAAAAUACUCACAUGUUUUGCUUUGAAUUUGCCAAGUACCGACUGAAUUUUGAGGUAAUGAGGGGUUUUGGGUGGUUAAAUCAACUUAUCCCUCUUUUCUCAUGUGAAAAGACGUAUUUUUGGUGUUAAAAAGUGAAAAAA